UGAAAUAUCUUGUGAACAUAAAGGUUAUUUAAGAAUUUAGGCUGAGAUAUUUUAUAGUGAAAGCAUAAAAACCGUUUUGUAUACAUAGCCGAUUAUUCUACUGUCUAUACCAAUCAUUGUCUUAUUUUAACCAUUGGGUAUUGAAACCGAGUUCUAUUUACUAAGAAAACACUUAGUAUAAUUCUUUUUUUUGUAUUUGUCUGAGAGAUUAAUCAAGUACGAACUAAAGAAAUCUCUUGUCAUAUAUUUUCCUUUGUGUAAAUAGCUAAGGAUGACUGUUACAAUAUUGCCCAUAGCGUUCUAUAACUUCUGGUGGAUCAAUCGCAAUCAUUUUUCAUUUCAAAGAAUUACUAAUUGGGUCUAUAGAAAAAUCAUUUCUUUUUAUUUCAGACUAUUUUGUUUGUCAUUGAAUUUCCUACAUUAGCUGCUCUGGUUUAUUGUAUCAUUAACUUUUAACAUAAAGAACCUCAACAAGUCAUGCUAAUUUGACAUUAUAGAAUGUAAGUAUAUUAAAUUAUGAUAAACUAUUUAUUGCAAAAGCAGGAUGGAUAGUACAUUAUAGAGCAUAGAAAUUGUUGCAAAGAAAUCCACAGUUUAUUAUCUAAGAUAUUUACUUUAUGGAGAUAUUAAUUUAGAAGGCUCAUAGCCGUAUUUUUUUGCAUUAUAAGCCAUUUGUUUCACUGGCUUUAUAUAGUCAAUAUGCGACUCAUAAAUUCAUUAGAGUUAUUCUCUCGCGAAAAAUCAUUGAAAUGUGGGGCCUGAUCAUUGUUGUAGAUUUAAGCAACAUAUAACCGAAGCUAAUGAGAACAAAUUGAAGCAGAGUUUUUCUGAAUACCAAAUACAUUUUUGAUACUCCAGGGUUGCAGAGUUUUUGCCUUCAGAGCCCAUUGCAAGUAUGUUCGGUUUCUAAGGGUUUCCUCACUUCAUACAUAGUUAGAUUUGUUCCUCAAUUCUUAAUUUUUCGCUGACUUCGUGACGCUUUCUACUAUAAUCAUGUUACAAACUAAUAUAUAAACAAACUAGUGACCUUUAGGAUUAAACGAGAGGCAAGCACAAACCACUUGUUCCAUUCAAGUUACUGCAAUAUUUUUAUGGAAGAUAUUAGAAAAUUAGCAGAAUACUCACCAAGUUUGUCACAAUGCAAGACGAUGGCAAAAGAUCCUUAAGCUCAUUCCAUAUUAAAAAUGUCGUAAGUUAGUAAAAUUUAAAAAUAGUCAAGUCCUUCAUUUUGAAGUUUUUUGUUUAUUACUCGACCAAAAACAAAUUGCCUUGCAAUCGUUACCUUUUAUGCUUUAGCACCUAUAAUUAUCCUGUAGACAGAAAUUACCUUUUAUAUAGCAAAC